CCUCCCUCUCUCAGGGGAUGAAGAGGGAAAGGGGGAGAUGAGGGGAGGCUCUGCUCAGCUGUGGGGCACAGAAGUCAGGACCAGAGAUGACCUGCACCAUGGCCAGGUCCCCUCUCCUUCUCACUCACCAGGCUCACUGCUCAGGGUCCUGGGCCCAGUCUGUGCUGACUCAGCCAUCCUCCCUGUCUGGGACCCUGGGCCAGAAGCUCAUCAUCUCCUGCACUGGAAGCAGCUCCAACAUCGGGGGUGGAUAUUAUGUGAGCUGGCACCAACAGCUCCCAGGAAUUGGGCACAGAACCAUCAUCUAUGAUAAUAGCAAACAACCUUUGGGGAUCCCGGAUCGAUUCCCUGGCUCAAAGUCUGGUAGCUCAGGCACCCUGACCAUCACUGGGCUCCAGGCUGAGGAUGAGGCCGAUUAUUACUGUGCAUUAUUGGACAGUAGUCUCAGUGCUCACACAGUGCUCCAGUCAUGAGGGGAAGUGAGACAAAAACCCACUCACUCAUCUGUAGAGGGGGGCACAUGCCAGCAGUUCCUGCUCAGCUUAGCCUGUGAUGCUCCUUAUUCCUUUGCUGAUGCCCUGGGUCCAUGUCCUUCAGGGGCACCACCAGGGAGUGAGGCUCUCCUGUCUCUCCUGUCCUCAGAGUCAC